GGCUUGCCAUCCAGUUCAUUACCUGGUGAGAUUUACCAUGACAUUAGGGGUGACAAAUUUGAACCUAGCUGAUAUGAACGGACUAAUUCAUGCAAAAUCUAAAAUAAAUAAUCCGCCUGGAUGCAAGAUAAGAUACAAGAUGUAUAGUGAUAUCUAUCUCAGGCAAGAGUUUCCCAUAAUGGUGGAUAUCAACUCAUCAAUUUAUAUUGAUGCAAUCAACUUAAUUUUAGUCUAAAAAUAAAAUCAAUAAAAUAAUUUUUAAAAAAAUUAAAUUUUGAUUUGAAAUUAUUGCAAAUGAACUCUGUAUCAACCAAGAGUUGAAUAUUUGGUUACCUCUGCUUCUAACUUGUUGA
rnacentral:misc_RNA from 1 species